UACGUAGGGUGCGAGCGUUGUCCGGAAUUAUUGGGCGUAAAGGGCUCGUAGGCGGUUUGUCGCGUCGGGAGUGAAAACCCAGGGCUUAACUCUGGGCUUGCUUUCGAUACGGACAGACUAGAGGUAGGUAGGGGAGAAUGGAAUUCCCGGUGUAGCGGUGAAAUGCGCAGAUAUCGGGAGGAACACCGGUGGCGAAGGCGGUUCUCUGGGCCUUACCUGACGCUGAGGAGCGAAAGCGUGGGGAGCGAACAGG
rnacentral:rRNA from 1 species